AUGCUCACUUUGGCAGCACAUAUACUAAAAUUGGAAUGAUACAGAGAAGAUUAGCAUGGCCCCUGCGCAAAGAUGACAUGCAAAUUCGCGGGGGAAAAGAAAACUAC
rnacentral:snRNA from 1 species